rnacentral:rRNA from 1 species
UACGUAGGGGGCAAGCGUUGUCCGGAAUCAUUGGGCGUAAAGAGCGUGUAGGCGGCUCGAUAAGUCCGCUGUGAAAGUCCAGGGCUCAACCCUGGAAUGCCGGUGGAAACUGUCGAGCUAGAGUCCGGAAGAGGCGAGUGGAAUUCCUGGUGUAGCGGUGAAAUGCGCAGAUAUCAGGAGGAACACCAAUGGCGAAGGCAGCUCGCUGGGACGGUACUGACGCUGAGACGCGAAAGCGUGGGGAGCAAACAGG